rnacentral:rRNA from 1 species
AUGAACGCUAGCGACAGGCUUAACACAUGCAAGUCGAGGGGCAGCGGGGGUAGCGAUACCCGCCGGCGACCGGCGCACGGGUGAGUAACGCGUAUGCAACUUGCCUAUCAGAGGGGGAUAACCCGGCGAAAGUCGGACUAAUACCGCAUGAAGCAGGGGCCCCGCAUGGGGAUAUUUGCUAAAGAUUCAUCGCUGAUAGAUAGGCAUGCGUUCCAUUAGGCAGUUGGCGGGGUAACGGCCCACCAAACCGACGAUGGAUAGGGGUUCUGAGAGGAAGGUCCCCCACAUUGGUACUGAGACACGGACCAAACUCCUACGGGAGGCAGCAGUGAGGAAUAUUGGUCAAUGGGCGUAAGCCUGAACCAGCCAAGUCGCGUGAGGGAUGAAGGUUCUAUGGAUCGUAAACCUCUUUUAUAAGGGAAUAAAGUGCGGGACGUGUCCCGUUUUGUAUGUACCUUAUGAAUAAGGAUCGGCUAACUCCGUGCCAGCAGCCGCGGUAAUACGGAGGAUCCGAGCGUUAUCCGGAUUUAUUGGGUUUAAAGGGUGCGUAGGCGGCCUUUUAAGUCAGCGGUGAAAGUCUGUGGCUCAACCAUAGAAUUGCCGUUGAAACUGGGGGGCUUGAGUAUGUUUGAGGCAGGCGGAAUGCGUGGUGUAGCGGUGAAAUGCAUAGAUAUCACGCAGAACCCCGAUUGCGAAGGCAGCCUGCCAAGCCAUUACUGACGCUGAUGCACGAAAGCGUGGGGAUCAAACAGGAUUAGAUACCCUGGUAGUCCACGCAGUAAACGAUGAUCACUAGCUGUUUGCGAUACACUGUAAGCGGCACAGCGAAAGCGUUAAGUGAUCCACCUGGGGAGUACGCCGGCAACGGUGAAACUCAAAGGAAUUGACGGGGGCCCGCACAAGCGGAGGAACAUGUGGUUUAAUUCGAUGAUACGCGAGGAACCUUACCCGGGUUUGAACGCAUUCGGACCGAGGUGGAAACACCUUUUCUAGCAAUAGCCGUUUGCGAGGUGCUGCAUGGUUGUCGUCAGCUCGUGCCGUGAGGUGUCGGCUUAAGUGCCAUAACGAGCGCAACCCUUGCCACUAGUUACUAACAGGUAAAGCUGAGGACUCUGGUGGGACUGCCAGCGUAAGCUGCGAGGAAGGCGGGGAUGACGUCAAAUCAGCACGGCCCUUACAUCCGGGGCGACACACGUGUUACAAUGGCGUUGACAAAGGGAGGCCACCUGGCGACAGGGAGCGAAUCCCCAAACCACGUCUCAGUUCGGAUCGGAGUCUGCAACCCGACUCCGUGAAGCUGGAUUCGCUAGUAAUCGCGCAUCAGCCAUGGCGCGGUGAAUACGUUCCCGGGCCUUGUACACACCGCCCGUCAAGCCAUGGGAGCCGGGGGUACCUGAAGUCCGUAACCGCGAGGAUCGGCCUAGGGUAAAACUGGUGACUGGGGCU